rnacentral:misc_RNA from 1 species
GAUGAAGAACGUAGUGAAAUGCGAUACGUAAUGUGAAUUGCAAAUUCAGUGAAUCAUCGAGUCUUUGAACGCACAUUGCGCCCCCUGGUAUUCCGGGGGGCAUGCCUGUCCGAGCGUCAUUGCUGCCCUCAAGCACGGCUUGUGUGUUGGGCCCCGUCCUCCGAUCCCGGGGGACGGGCCCGAAAGGCAGCGGCGGCACCGCGUCCGGUCCUCGAGCGUAUGGGGCUUUGUCACCCGCUCUGUAGGCCCGGCCGGCGCUUGCCGAUCAACCCAAAUUUUUAUCCAGGUUGACCUCGGAUCAGGUAGGGAUACCCGCUGAACUUAAGCAUAUCAAUAAGCGGAG